rnacentral:lncRNA from 1 species
UUUUCUGCUGUGAAAAAUUGUGAAUUGAACACUGUUGUGUAGCGCUAAACCUCUCACUUUUAGACGGUCACAUUUAAUUUUAAUAUAUCAAUAACGAUGCGUGAACAAAACAAUCAGACACAAUAGGUUAACAUGCAUGUUUCUCUAAUUGGUCUACAUUGUCAUUUCGGGGCCUUUUAUAGCUGACUAUGCGGUAUGGGCUUUGCUCAUUGUAAAACAUUUGUAAAAGGCCGUACGGUGACCUAUAGUUG